CCUACGGGAGGCAGCAGUGGGGAAUUUUGGACAAUGGGCGCAAGCCUGAUCCAGCCAUGCCGCGUGCGGGAAGAAGGCCUUCGGGUUGUAAACCGCUUUUGUCGGGGAAGAAAUACUCUGGACUAAUACUCUGGGGUGAUGACGGUACCUGAAGAAUAAGCACCGGCUAACUACGUGCCAGCAGCCGCGGUAAUACGUAGGGUGCGAGCGUUAAUCGGAAUUACUGGGCGUAAAGCGUGCGCAGGCGGUUGUGUAAGACAGAUGUGAAAUCCCCGGGCUCAACCUGGGAAUGGCAUUUGUGACUGCACAGCUAGAGUACGGUAGAGGGGGAUGGAAUUCCGCGUGUAGCAGUGAAAUGCGUAGAUAUGCGGAGGAACACCGAUGGCGAAGGCAGUCCCCUGGACCUGUACUGACGCUCAUGCACGAAAGCGUGGGGAGCAAACAGGAUUAGAUACCCUGGUAGUCCACGCCCUAAACGAUGUCAACUGGUUGUUGGGAGGGUUUCUUCUCAGUAACGAAGCUAACGCGUGAAGUUGACCGCCUGGGGAGUACGGCCGCAAGGUUGAAACUCAAAUGAAUUGA
rnacentral:rRNA from 1 species